GCCUAGUUAUGAUGAUCUGCUUAAGGUUCUAUUUGGACCAUUCAUUUUGGUGAUCGAUCGUUCAAUCUGUUGUUGGUUGUCUAGUCUGGUGAUUUGUCGUCGACUUGGUAGUUGAUUGUUCGACUUGAUAGUUGGUUGUUCGACUUGAUAACAAUCGUUUGAUAUGUUACAUGUCCAUAUGAGUUGACAUCCUGCAGUCCGA
rnacentral:lncRNA from 1 species